rnacentral:tRNA from 1 species
GGUGAGAUGGCUCAGUGGGUAAGAGCACCCGACUGGUCUUCUGAAGGUCCAGAGUUCAAAUCCCAGCAACCA